rnacentral:rRNA from 1 species
UACGGAGGAUGCAAGCGUUAUCCGGAAUGAUUGGGCGUAAAGCGUCCGCAGGUGGCAAUGUAAGUCUGCUGUUAAAGAGUCUAGCUCAACUAGAUAAAAGCAGUGGAAACUACAUAGCUAGAGUACGUUCGGGGCAGAGGGAAUUCCUGGUGUAGCGGUGAAAUGCGUAGAGAUCAGGAAGAACACCAGUGGCGAAGGCGCUCUGCUAGGCCGUGACUGACACUGAGGGACGAAAGCUAGGGGAGCGAAUGGG